rnacentral:rRNA from 1 species
UACGUAGGGUGCGAGCGUUAAUCGGAAUUACUGGGCGUAAAGAGCGCGCAGGCGGUCGUUCAAGUCGCGUGUGAAAGCCCCCGGCUCAACUGGGGAGGGUCACGCGAUACUGAUCGACUCGAAGGCAGGAGAGGGUAGUGGAAUUCCCGGUGUAGCGGUGAAAUGUGUAGAGAUCGGGAGGAACACCGGUGGCGAAGGCGGGUCUCUGGGCAUUUCCUGACGCUGAGGCGCGAAAGCGUGGGGAGCAAACGGG